GUCUUAUUAGUGAAGAAGAAUCACAUCAUCUUUUCGAGGUGGAAUUGAACCUUUAGGUUCAUAAGAUA
rnacentral:tRNA from 1 species